CAGUCGCCGCGGUAAUACGAAGGGGGCUAGCGUUGUUCGGAAUUACUGGGCGUAAAGCGCACGUAGGCGGAUAUUUAAGUCAGGGGUGAAAUCCCAAGGCUCAACCUUGGAACUGCCUUUGAUACUGGAUAUCUGGAGUUUGGGAGAGGUGAGUGGAAUUCCGAGUGUAGAGGUGAAAUUCGUAGAUAUUCGGAGGAACACCAGUGGCGAAGGCGGCUCACUGGUCCAUUACUGACGCUGAGGUGCGAAAGCGUGGGGAGCAAACAGGAUUAGAUACCCCAGUAGUCCCUGUCUCUUAUAC
rnacentral:rRNA from 1 species